rnacentral:tRNA from 1 species
UGGGCCCUUAGCUCAAUUGGCAGAGCAGUGGACUUUUAAUCCAUUGGUUGUGGGUUCGAGUCCCACAGGGCCUACCCA